rnacentral:rRNA from 1 species
GACGAACGCUGGCGGCGUGCCUAAUACAUGCAAGUUGAGCGCUGAAGGUUGGUACUUGUCCCCACUGGAUGAGCAGCGAACGGGUGAGUAGCGCGUGGGGAAUCUGCCUUUGAGCGGGGGACAACAUUUGGAAACGAAUGCUAAUACCGCAUAAAAACUUUAAACACAAGUUUUAAGUUUGAAAGAUGCAAUUGCAUCACUCAAAGAUGAUCCCGCGUUGUAUUAGCUAGUUGGUGAGGUAAAGGCUCACCAAGGCGAUGAUACAUAGCCGACCUGAGAGGGUGAUCGGCCACAUUGGGACUGAGACACGGCCCAAACUCCUACGGGAGGCAGCAGUAGGGAAUCUUCGGCAAUGGACGAAAGUCUGACCGAGCAACGCCGCGUGAGUGAAGAAGGUUUUCGGAUCGUAAAACUCUGUUGGUAGAGAAGAACGUUGGUGAGAGUGGAAAGCUCAUCAAGUGACGGUAACUACCCAGAAAGGGACGGCUAACUACGUG